rnacentral:ncRNA from 1 species
CCUCUGGAGCAUUACAUCAAACGCAAGUAGCUUCGUGCUUGCGCGGGCAAAAGCGGAUGCGAUGAAUGAGGAA